rnacentral:rRNA from 1 species
AGAGUUAAAUAGUACGUGAAAUUGUUGAAAGGGAAACGAUUGAAGCCAGUCGUACCUGCGGACAGUCAGCCUUCCGUGUGUGAUUACGUGGUACUUGAGGAGCUAAACACCCUCCUGUUUGCGUAUUCGUGCUCGUGGGUGUACUUGCCCGUGUGGUAGGUUAACAUCAAUUUCGGGCAUCAUAAAAUGACGGGAGGAAUGUGGCUUCGAUCUCGUAUUGAAGUGUUAUAGCCUCUGGUAGAUGUGGUGACCGGGAUUGAGGAUUGCAACGAACCCUUCGGGGUCACCUGUCUGGCCUCUGGUGGUCUCUCUGGUGCCGAAAGCUUGCUUACGGUUAUCAAAGUUGACUGCCAAUAGGUUAGAAUGGGAUAAAUUCGUUAAGGAUGUUGACGUAAUGGCUUUAAACGACC